UGCAUUACCGACUCAACAUAA
ensembl:piRNA 21ur-992 ncRNA